rnacentral:rRNA from 1 species
UACGAAGGGGGCUAGCGUUGCUCGGAAUCACUGGGCGUAAAGCGCACGUAGGCGGCUUUCUAAGUCAGGGGUGAAAUCCUGGAGCUCAACUCCAGAACUGCCUUUGAUACUGGGAAGCUCGAGUCCGGAAGAGGUGAGUGGAACUCCGAGUGUAGAGGUGAAAUUCGUAGAUAUUCGGAAGAACACCAGUGGCGAAGGCGGCUCACUGGCCCGAUACUGACGCUGAGGCGCGAAAGCGUGGGGAGCAAACAGG